UGUGAGAGCAAGAGCCCGGAGAUGGAUUCUGAGACACGAAUCCAGGCCCUACGGGGUGCAGCAGGCGCGAAAACUUUACAAUGCUGGCAACAGCGAUAAGGGAACCUCGAGUGCCAGGUUACAAAUCUGGCUGUCGAGAUGCCUAAAAAGCAUUUCAUAGCAAGGGCCGGGCAAGACCGGUGCCAGCCGCCGCGGUAAUACCGGCGGCUCGAGUGGUGGCCACUAUUACUGGGCUUAAAGCGUUCGUAGCUGGGUUGUUAAGUCUCUUGGGAAAUCCACCGGCUCAACCGAUGGGCGACCAGGGGAAACUGGCAUUCUAGGGACCGGGAGAGGUGAGAGGUACUCCAGGGGUAGGAGUGAAAUCCUGUAAUCCUUGGGGGACCACCGAUGGCGAAGGCAUCUCACCAGAACGGCUCCGACAGUGAGGAACGAAAGCUGGGGGAGCAAACCGGAUUAGAUACCCGGGUAGUCCCAGCUGUAAACGAUGCGCGUUAGGUGUAUCGGUGACCACGAGUUACCGAGGUGCCGAAGGGAAACCGUGAAAC
rnacentral:rRNA from 1 species